AACCGGCGAGUUAUUGUAUUAUGCAAGGUUAAGUCGAACAGAUGGAGCCGAAGCGAAAGCAAGUCUGAAUAGGGCGCUUUAGUAUGAUGCAAUAGACCCGAAACCGAGUGAUCUAGCCAUGAGCAGGUUGAAGUUGGGGUAAGACCCAAUGGAGGACCGAACCGAUAUGCCCGGAAACGCGUACGGAUGACUUGUGGUUAGCGGAGAAAUUCCAAACGAACUCGGAGAUAGCUGGUUCUCCCCGAAAUAGGUUUAGGCCUAGCCUUGAUUGAAUCUGCCCGGAGGUAGAGCACUGAAUGUGCGAUGGCGUCGUCUAGAUGUACUGAGUACAAUCAAACUCCGAAUGCUGGGUAGUACUAAUCAGGAGUCACUGUAUGGGUGAUAACGUCCAUACGGGAGAGGAAAAGAAUCCGGAUCGCCAGCUAAGGUCCCAAAAUUUGUGUUAAGUGGGAAAGGAUGUAGAGUUGUCAAAACAGCUAGGAGGUUGGCUUAGAAGCAGCCACCCUUUAAAGAGUGCGUAAUAGCUCACUAGUCGAGUGACACUGCGCCGAAGAUGUACCGGGGCUAAACACAAUACCGAAGCUGCGGACUUGCAUGUAAGUGCAAGUGGUAGGGGAGCGUUCUAAGUGCUGAGAAGGUAGACCGUAAGGACUGCUGGAGCGCUUAGAAGUGAGAAUGCCGGUGUGAGUAACGAAAAUUGGGUGAGAAUCCCAUUCACCGUUUGACUAAGGGUUCCUGGGUAAAGUUCGUCUUCCCAGGGUAAGUCAGGACCUAAGAUGAGGCUGAAAAGCGUAGUCGAUGGACAACAGGUUGAUAUUCCUGUACCACCUAUAUGACUGAAGGAGUGACGGAGAAAGCUAGUGAGAGCCAGUUAAUGGAUUCUGGUUUAAGUGCGUAGGCUAGUAUGUUGGCAAAUCCGCAAUACUAUAACAGCUGAAACAUGAUGGGGAAGAGAGUCUUCGGACAAUCGAACUUUCAUGAUGCUAUGCUUCCAAGAAAAGCUUCUAGGGUUAAUCGUAUAGGUGCCUGUACCGACAACCGACACAGGUGGUCAAGGAGAGUAUCCUAAGGUGAGCGAGAGAACUAUGGUUAAGGAACUCGGCAAAAUGACCCCGUAACUUCGGGAGAAGGGGUGGUCUAGCGAUAGACCCGCAGUAAAGAGUCCCAGGCAACUGUUUACCAAAAACACAGCUCUCUGCUAAAUCGAAAGAUGAUGUAUAGGGGGUGACACUUGCCCAGUGCUGGAAGGUUAAGAGGAGAGGUUAGUAAUGACUUCGGUUAUAUUUACGAAGCUUCGAAUUGAAGCCCCAGUGAACGGCGGCCGUAACUAUAACGGUCCUAAGGUAGCGAAAUUCCUUGUCAGGUAAGUUCUG
rnacentral:rRNA from 1 species